CCAAAUCCAGCAGGAGAGACCAGUCUCACCUGUACCCAGCUGUCUGUCCAUGCAAACAGACAUGUCUAUUGAUCCUCRGUUCAACUUCAUGACAGAAAAUAUAUCUACUGAUCAAAAGCCUUUCUGGUUUGUGUUCUCUUGUUCUGCUCAUUUGUUUCUAAUCAAUAUUUUGAAGCAAACAGUAAAUCACCAACGUCCUGUAGUUUUAUGAGUUACAUUGAAUGUGCUUCUUUACGGGGCCCAGCAGCAGAGACCAGUUCUGUCCACGAACAGUGACCAGUCAAUGGGACAUCAAGAACACUUCAGGGAUGGGAACACUGGGCAUGCGAUCCAAGAGGAGAGAGCCAAUUCUCCUGGACCAAGCUUUGAGUCCUUUAAGAGUGACUGGUCAAUGGUUCAUCCUAAAACACAAUUCGGGUAGGAAGGCAUUUCUACUGAUCAAAGAGACCUGCAAGAGAGAUCGGAGUCAGACAUUCCCCGUGGCCGGUCCACGGCAGACAUGUCCUCCAUAUUCAAGGUGAGCUGACUCACGUCUUACAGUUUAAAAGUGAAUGGAUAGUUUUGUGAUAUCUUUGUGACCUUU
rnacentral:lncRNA from 1 species